rnacentral:rRNA from 1 species
UACGUAGGGGGCAAGCGUUGUCCGGAAUCAUUGGGCGUAAAGCGCGUGUAGGCGGCUCGGUAAGUCUGCUGUGAAAGUCCAGGGCUCAACCCUGGGAUGCCGGUGGAUACUGUCGAGCUCGAGUCCGGAAGAGGCGAGUGGAAUUCCUGGGGUAGCGGUGAAAUGCGCAGAUAUCAGGAGGAACACCAAUGGCGAAGGCAGCUCGCUGGGACGUGACUGACGCUGAGACGCGAAAGCGUGGGGAGCAAACAGG